rnacentral:rRNA from 1 species
GCCCGUGGGGGGCGUGCUAAUACAUGCAAGUCGAACGAACUCUGGUAUUGAUUGGUGCUUGCAUCAUGAUUUACAUUUGAGUGAGUGGCGAACUGGUGAGUAACACGUGGGAAACCUGCCCAGAAGCGGGGGAUAACACCUGGAAACAGAUGCUAAUACCGCAUAACAACUUGGACCGCAUGGUCCGAGUUUGAAAGAUGGCUUCGGCUAUCACUUUUGGAUGGUCCCGCGGCGUAUUAGCUAGAUGGUGGGGUAACGGCUCACCAUGGCAAUGAUACGUAGCCGACCUGAGAGGGUAAUCGGCCACAUUGGGACUGAGACACGGCCCAAACUCCUACGGGAGGCAGCAGUAGGGAAUCUUCCACAAUGGACGAAAGUCUGAUGGAGCAACGCCGCGUGAGUGAAGAAGGGUUUCGGCUCGUAAAACUCUGUUGUUAAAGAAGAACAUAUCUGAGAGUAACUGUUCAGGUAUUGACGGUAUUUAACCAGAAAGCCACGGCUAACUACGUGCCAGCAGCCGCGGUAAUACGUAGGUGGCAAGCGUUGUCCGGAUUUAUUGGGCGUAAAGCGAGCGCAGGCGGUUUUUUAAGUCUGAUGUGAAAGCCUUCGGCUCAACCGAAGAAGUGCAUCGGAAACUGGGAAACUUGAGUGCAGAAGAGGACAGUGGAACUCCAUGUGUAGCGGUGAAAUGCGUAGAUAUAUGGAAGAACACCAGUGGCGAAGGCGGCUGUCUGGUCUGUAACUGACGCUGAGGCUCGAAAGUAUGGGUAGCAAACAGGAUUAGAUACCCUGGUAGUCCAUACCGUAAACGAUGAAUGCUAAGUGUUGGAGGGUUUCCGCCCUUCAGUGCUGCAGCUAACGCAUUAAGCAUUCCGCCUGGGGAGUACGGCCGCAAGGCUGAAACUCAAAGGAAUUGACGGGGGCCCGCACAAGCGGUGGAGCAUGUGGUUUAAUUCGAAGCUACGCGAAGAACCUUACCAGGUCUUGACAUACUAUGCAAAUCUAAGAGAUUAGACGUUCCCUUCGGGGACAUGGAUACAGGUGGUGCAUGGUUGUCGUCAGCUCGUGUCGUGAGAUGUUGGGUUAAGUCCCGCAACGAGCGCAACCCUUAUUAUCAGUUGCCAGCAUUAAGUUGGGCACUCUGGUGAGACUGCCGGUGACAAACCGGAGGAAGGUGGGGAUGACGUCAAAUCAUCAUGCCCCUUAUGACCUGGGCUACACACGUGCUACAAUGGAUGGUACAACGAGUUGCGAACUCGCGAGAGUAAGCUAAUCUCUUAAAGCCAUUCUCAGUUCGGAUUGUAGGCUGCAACUCGCCUACAUGAAGUCGGAAUCGCUAGUAAUCGCGGAUCAGCAUGCCGCGGUGAAUACGUUCCCGGGCCUUGUACACACCGCCCGUCACACACAUGAGAGUUUGUAACACCCAAAGUCGGUGGGGUAACCUUUUUAGGAACCAGCCGCCUAAAGGUGGGACCCAGGUAG